ACGCGAAGAACCUUACCUGGUCUUUGACAUCCACAGAACUUUCCAGAGAUGGAUUGGUGCCUUCGGGAACUGUGAGACAGGUGCUGCAUGGCUGUCGUCAGCUCGUGUUGUGAAAUGUUGGGUUAAGUCCCGCAACGAGCGCAACCUUUAUCCUUUGUUGCCAGCGGUUCGGCCGGGAACUCAAAGGAGACUGCCAGUGAUAAACUGGAGGAAGGUGGGGAUGACGUCAAGUCAUCAUGGCCCUUACGACCAGGGCUACACACGUGCUACAAUGGCAUAUACAAAGAGAAGCGACCUCGCGAGAGCAAGCGGACCUCAUAAAGUAUGUCGUAGUCCGGAUUGGAGUCUGCAACUCGACUCCAUGAAGUCGGAAUCGCUAGUAAUCGUAGAUCAGAAUGCUACGGUGAAUACGUUCCCGGGCCUUGUACACCCCCCCCGUCACACCAUGGGAGUGGGUUGCAAAAGAAGUAGGUAGCUUAACCUCGGGAGGGCU
rnacentral:rRNA from 1 species